UUUUGCUGCGAUUUUCUUCUUUUGAUGGAUGUGAAUCAGCGGAAGAAUUAUGAAUGUUGAGAUGAAGGUACAUAUACUCGGAACAUUCAUACUCAUCCACUCGUUCACAUCCAUCAGAAGACGAAAAUCGCACCUAAAAUCGCAGCAAAAAUUGCAAGUGUAAAUAGACCUUUAAACAUAUAUUUAUUUUUGGCCAAAGCAAUACUUGAGCAUGAAACACAAUUAACCUUUAAAUGUAAAUAUAUUUAAAAUUUUUCUACCCUCUAAUUUUAUAUUUACAAGCUUCGUGUGUUUUCAAUAAGCAACUCGUGAAGCAGAUGGUGGUCAAUCACCAGCGUCAAAUGCUGCCCCGGUAUAACGCUUAAUGAAACACACGAAUAUUAAAAAUGAAUAUAAAUCUACGAUGUCGUCUUUUGCUGCAAGUUAGUCGUAUGUACAAAGUUUGGUUAUCAGUUUCCAGAAGGUUUGUUCCAUCUGAUGUAUAGAUAUACUGCAAUUCGUCAGGUUACGAUGAUGAGGAUUUUACCAGGAUUUGCAGAGAGUCCUGUGUGCAAGUCUGACGUUUAUGUAUUGAUGACCUUUUUCUAAACUUAUUGCACAGGUAAUCAGGAGCAAGGUUAUUUAUACAUUUGUAUGUCAGAACCGCGUCUCUAAAGUAUAGUAGUUUGUCCACUGGUAACCAAUUUAACAAAUUGUAGUUUGUCCACUGGUAACCAAUUUAACAAAUUGUAGUUUGUCCACUGGUAACCAAUUAAUGAC